rnacentral:lncRNA from 1 species
CACAGAGAAUUGCCUUCAACCGAGAACAGCGAAUGUUUAAGCGAGUUGGCUGUGGGGAGUGCACAGCUUGCCUGGUGAAAGAAGACUGCGGGGUGUGCUCCAUCUGCUGCCUGCAGCUGCCCAACGAUGUGGCCUCAGGGCUCUUCUGCAAGUGUGAGCAGAGACGCUGCCUGCGGAUUGUGGAGAAGAACCGAGGGUGUGGUGUGUGUCGGGGUUGUCAGACCCAAGAGGACUGUGGCCAUUGCCGCAUCUGCCUUCGCUUUCCCCGCCCUGGUCUCAAGCGCCAGUGGAGGUGUUUGCAACGGCGCUGUUUUUGGGGUAAAUAUGAUCAUAGUAAGAGAGGCCCGAGGGUAGCUUCUCGACGUCACUCCCGAGCCCCGCCACUUCCUCCACACGCUGCGUCACA